GCGUCAGCUAAGAGCACUUGUACGGCCUUGAGCUGAGUGUUGCCAUAGCAUCCACAGGCGGGACCGUACACGUAUGCUUCUCGUCAGCCGCCUGUCUGUCUGUACUGCAGUGACUCAGCUAGGCGGGCCACGGGCAGUCAGUGCUAGGCAUUUAUCGAGUGUGGACGCUGUAGAACUGUUAAUACACACUGGGUAGUUAUCACGUGGUGUGACGUCCUACAAAUGGCGACUGCAAAGAAAAGAAAAGUAGAUGCAGAAUGUCGAGCCUUCCAAGAGAAGUGGACAAACGAUUAUUUUUUUGUUGAAGUGAAAGGCAAACCUGUGUGCCUAGUUUGUGGGGAUGCGUUAGCAGUAAUGAAGAAGGCCAAUGUGGAGCGUCAUUACAGCUCAAAACAUGCUAAGCUCAGUGAUUUGGGAGGACAAAUGCGUCUGGAUAAAAUCAAUGCUCUUCGGCGGUGUUUAGAAUCACAACAAGCCUCUUUCACAAGACCUCGGUAUGACAGAGACAACGUUAUUCAGACGAGUUAUGCACUGAGUGACCUAAUUGCCAAGAAGCUGAAGCCUCACAUAGAGGGAGAGUUUGUGAAAGAGUGCAUCGUUAAAGCUGCGGAGUUGCUAGCGCCAGACAAACUUCAGUUAUUUCAGAGUGUUAGUUUGUCUCGUAGAACCGACUCAGAUCGAGUAGCAUCAUCAACAGUACCACCUAACAUCACGCGCCUCGCCAAAGAGCAGUUCCAGCCGUCACAUUAGAGUGGUGAGCUCACACAGGCAUCCUGAAGAGGGAAGCUCCUGGUCCAGCCAGAGCAGAAAAACUAAGACUGCAGUGAAUCCACACCACACCCAUGCAGACACCACUAGUGAUGCAUUUUCUUGCCCCAUCACAAGCCAUGCGGACAACCCUAGUGAUGCAUUUUCUUGCCCCAUCACAAGCCUGUAGAGAUGAGACAAGAAUACAGAUUAAUCAGACAAUCAGUAUCAAUAAAAAUGUAGUUCUCUAAUAAAAAGCAACUUCAAAA